UACGUAGGGUGCGAGCGUUGUCCGGAAUUAUUGGGCGUAAAGGGCUCGUAGGCGGUUUGUCGCGUCGGGAGUGAAAACACCGGGCUUAACUCGGUGCUUGCUUUCGAUACGGGCAGACUUGAGGCAUGCAGGGGAGAACGGAAUUCCUGGUGUAGCGGUGAAAUGCGUAGAUAUCGAGAGGAACACCUGCGGCGAAGGCGGGUUGCUGGGCUGACACUGACGCUGAUGCGCGAAAGCCAGGGGAGCGAACGGG
rnacentral:rRNA from 1 species